GAUCCUGGCUCAGGAUGAACGCUAGCUACAGGCUUAACACAUGCAAGUCGAGGGGCAGCGGGAUUGAAGCUUGCUUCAAUUGCCGGCGACCGGCGCACGGGUGAGUAACGCGUAUCCAACCUUCCGUACACUCAGGGAUAGCCUUUCGAAAGAAAGAUUAAUACCUGAUGGUAUGAUGAGAUUGCACCUGAUAGCAUCAUUAAAGAUUUAUCGGUGUACGAUGGGG
rnacentral:rRNA from 1 species